GACGAAGGGGGCUAGCGUUGUUCGGAAUUACUGGGCGUAAAGCGAGUGUAGGUGGUUGUCCAAGUUGGAUGUGAAAGCCUUGAGCUCAACUCAAGAAAUGCAUUCAGGACUGGGCGGCUAGAGGACCGGAGAGGAUAGUGGAAUUCCCAGUGUAGUGGUGAAAUACGUAGAGAUUGGGAAGAACACCAGUGGCGAAGGCGAGUCCCUGGACGAUACCUGACACUGAGGCACGAAAGCUAGGGGAGCAAACAGG
rnacentral:rRNA from 1 species